GAUGAACGCUAGCUACAGGCUUAACACAUGCAAGUCGAGGGACCGGCGCACGGGUGAGUAACACGUAUCCAACCUGCCCUUUACUCGGGGAUAGCCUUUCGAAAGAAAGAUUAAUACCCGAUAUAAAGGAUGGGGAUGCGUUCCAUUAUGUUGUUGGUGAGGUAACGGCCCACCAAGCCUUCGAUGGGUAGGGGUUCUGAUGAGAAGGUCCCCCAGAUUGGAACUGAGACACGGUCCCAACUCCUACGGGAGGCAGCAGUUAGGAAUAUUGGUCAAUGGGCGUUAGCCUGAACCAGCCAAGUAGCGUGAAGGAUGAAGGCUUAUGGGUCGUAAACUUCUUUUAUAUAAGAAUCUGUAUUAUAUGAAUAAGGAUCGGCUAACUCCGUGCCAGCCGCCGCGGUAAUUC
rnacentral:rRNA from 1 species